rnacentral:rRNA from 1 species
AUGAGAGAAGUGUGUGAGAACCCAUCGAGUGUGAUGCACUUUGUCCUUGUGUGCAAGGAUGGUGAACCGAAAACUAACAACACUCACGAGCUACCUUUGGUGUUUCAAUCUCUUUUGCAGGAAUUUCAAGAUGUUUUCCCUGAUGAGCUACCUCCGGGUCUACCUCCUCUACGAGGCAUUGAGCAUCGAAUCGACCUCAUCCCUGGAGCGCCACUUCCAAACAAAGCUCCAUACCUUGUCAAUCCCGAAGAAACCAAGGAGAUUCAACGGCAAGUACAACAACUAAUCGACAAUGGUCAUGUACGUGAAAGCUUAAGCCCUUGUGUCGUUCCCGUCAUACUUGUGCCUAAGCCCGAUGGA